CGAGCAGACACUUUCUUCAUCUCUUGACUGCUUUGUGUGUUGUGUGUAUGGGUACGUGUAUCCAGCCAUUCAACUGCAGUGCCAGUCUGGCUACCUGCCCUGCCUGCGUUCCAGUGGCUGUAUCCUGCCAUCACAGCGCUGCGACGGUGUUUGGUACGACUGUGCUGAUGGCUCUGAUGCACAGUACUGCCAGCCAGGCAAGGUCACACCAGCUCCAGGUCAAACCGACUGCCAGGUCCUGUCACCACCGGCACUGGGCUCAAUGACCGUGAGCGGCUUGAUGUUCAGCAACACGACCACGUUUGUGUGCACAUCUCCCUAUGUCCUUAUGGGCUCGGCCGUGCGCACUUGUGAAAUCAACGGCCAGUGGAGCGGUGUGCAGCCAACUUGCGUCCUGACGACUGCUGCUCUGAGUGCGGCCAGUGACGACUGCUGCUCUGAGUGCGGCCAGUGACGAGCUAGUCAAGGACUCCGUCUCAGAACGCAUGACACAAACGUGUUAGCUCCCGCUCCAUGCCCAUUGUUGGAGCGACAGUCCUGGAAUCCAGAGUUGCAAGUGAGGUGGUGAUACGGCAAGCAGACGGUGGCAAAGUACGGCUUAAAAGCUCUACAUCUGGCAAGUGGCCGGCAUACCACCCCAAUGGACAUCGGAACAGUACACGUAGAGUAGCAUCUCUACGUGACAGGGUAUGAGCGCAAGCCAGUAUUGCCAAGCACUGGGGACCUUUGGCAAUCUGAAGAAUGUUUUGUCCGAGAAUCGAUCCUUGGAUCUGUGGCGUUGCAGUUGUGGUGCUCCCGACCCUCUUGCGCGAUGGCCGCGGAGACAUGAUAUCAUUCACCCUUACGGCCUUAGCGAAGACCCGGGAAUACCUGAGAAGAUGUUAGCCGCAACUUUACUGGAAAAGUCGUCGGGGACAACGGCACUCCAUAUUUUAGCUGCAUGCAGUUAGGUCUCUCAACAAGUGUACCCAAAGUUUUCAAGCUAAUACACAAGCAAAUUCACUAGGGUCCGAGUAUAUUUUCCUACACCUCUCCCUGUUGUUGUUAUUUCUGCAUUCAAAUUGUUUGUGUACCUGUACAUUUAUUACAGUAGAGCCACGCAUCCACGGCUGUUGUUUCCAAGGGGUCAGGCUCGUCAGUUAUACAAAACCUUAUACAAAACCUUUCAGCAAUCUGGCCUUAGGCUUAGUUCCUUGACUUCUUGUACCACUUUCUUAGAUGCACAUCCCACUGGAUAGUGAGCAAUACGUGUGUAGCAGAAUCUGUAUUCCAGAAAAGCAGAGACUUGAGUCUAUUGACACUGCGUUUCUUUUUAAAACGUCAUUGGCUGUGGUGUUCCUAGAGGUAUACACGUACAUUCCUGGGUCCCACGUUCUGUGACGCCCGACUGUAUUCGUGGUGCCUCAACAACUUUUAAUUUUGUGCACUUGGGAAAACCUGCCUGAGGCUGUGAGGCUGCAGAGUGUUGGCUGUGUUUUGCUUUAAAAAACCAUCAGGUCUCCCCAGAUUUUCUAGUCUGGCCCUGAAUUUUGCCACUCUUCGGUUUCAAAACCUAGUGUGGUGGUGGAAAGCCUA